AGGGCGCACGGUGGAUGCCUUGGCACUAGAAGCCGAUGAAGGACGUUACUAACGACGAUAUGCUUUGGGGAGCUGUAAGUAAGCUUUGAUCCAGAGAUUUCCGAAUGGGGAAACCCAGCAUGAGUUAUGUCAUGUUAUCGAUAUGUGAAUACAUAGCAUAUCAGAAGGCACACCCGGAGAACUGAAACAUCUUAGUACCCGGAGGAAGAGAAAGAAAAUUCGAUUCCCUUAGUAGCGGCGAGCGAAACGGGAAGAGCCCAAACCAACAAGCUUGCUUGUUGGGGUUGUAGGACACUCUAUACGGAGUUACAAAAGGACGACAUUAGACGAAUCAUCUGGAAAGAUGAAUCAAAGAAGGUAAUAAAUCCUGUAGUCGAAAAUGUUGUCUCUCUUGAGUGGAUCCUGAGUACGACGGAGCACGUGAAAUUCCGUCGGAAUCUGGGAGGACCAUCUCCUAAGGCUAAAUACUCUCUAGUGACCGAUAGUGAACCAGUACCGUGAGGGAAAGGUGAAAAGCACCCCGGAAGGGGAGUGAAAUAGAACCUGAAACCGUGUGCUUACAAGUAGUCAGAGCCCGUUAAUGGGUGAUGGCGUGCCUUUUGUAGAAUGAACCGGCGAGUUACGAUUUGAUGCAAGGUUAAGCAGUAAAUGUGGAGCCGUAGCGAAAGCGAGUCUGAAUAGGGCGUUUAGUAUUUGGUCGUAGACCCGAAACCAGGUGACCUACCCUUGGUCAGGUUGAAGUUCAGGUAACACUGAAUGGAGGACCGAACCGACUUACGUUGAAAAGUGAGCGGAUGAACUGAGGGUAGCGGAGAAAUUCCAAUCGAACCUGGAGAUAGCUGGUUCUCUCCGAAAUAGCUUUAGGGCUAGCCUCAAGUGAUGAUUAUUGGAGGUAGAGCACUGUUUGGACGAGGGGCCCCUCUCGGGUUACCGAAUUCAGACAAACUCCGAAUGCCAAUUAAUUUAACUUGGGAGUCAGAACAUGGGUGAUAAGGUCCGUGUUCGAAAGGGAAACAGCCCAGACCACCAGCUAAGGUCCCAAAAUAUAUGUUAAGUGGAAAAGGAUGUGGCGUUGCCCAGACAACUAGGAUGUUGGCUUAGAAGCAGCCAUCAUUUAAAGAGUGCGUAAUAGCUCACUAGUCGAGUGACACUGCGCCGAAAAUGUACCGGGGCUAAACAUAUUACCGAAGCUGUGGAUUGUCCUUUGGACAAUGGUAGGAGAGCGUUCUAAGGGCGUUGAAGCAUGAUCGUAAGGACAUGUGGAGCGCUUAGAAGUGAGAAUGCCGGUGUGAGUAGCGAAAGACGGGUGAGAAUCCCGUCCACCGAUUGACUAAGGUUUCCAGAGGAAGGCUCGUCCGCUCUGGGUUAGUCGGGUCCUAAGCUGAGGCCGACAGGCGUAGGCGAUGGAUAACAGGUUGAUAUUCCUGUACCACCUAUAAUCGUUUUAAUCGAUGGGGGGACGCAGUAGGAUAGGCGAAGCGUGCGAUUGGAUUGCACGUCUAAGCAGUAAGGCUGAGUAUUAGGCAAAUCCGGUACUCAUUAAGGCUGAGCUGUGAUGGGGAGAAGACAUUGUGUCUUCGAGUCGUUGAUUUCACACUGCCGAGAAAAGCCUCUAGAUAGAAAAUAGGUCGCCCGUACCGCAAACCGACACAGGUAGUCAAGAUGAGAAUUCUAAGGUGAGCGAGCGAACUCUCGUUAAGGAACUCGGCAAAAUGACCCCGUAACUUCGGGAGAAGGGGUGCUCUUUAGGGUUAACGCCCAGAAGAGCCGCAGUGAAUAGGCCCAAGCGACUGUUUAUCAAAAACACAGGUCUCUGCUAAACCGUAAGGUGAUGUAUAGGGGCUGACGCCUGCCCGGUGCUGGAAGGUUAAGAGGAGUGGUUAGCUUCUGCGAAGCUACGAAUCGAAGCCCCAGUAAACGGCGGCCGUAACUAUAACGGUCCUAAGGUAGCGAAAUUCCUUGUCGGGUAAGUUCCGACCCGCACGAAAGGCGUAACGAUUUGGGCACUGUCUCAACGAGAGACUCGGUGAAAUCAUAGUACCUGUGAAGAUGCAGGUUACCCGCGACAGGACGGAAAGACCCCGUGGAGCUUUACUGUAGCCUGAUAUUGAAAUUCGGCACAGCUUGUACAGGAUAGGUAGGAGCCUUUGAAACGUGAGCGCUAGCUUACGUGGAGGCGCUGGUGGGAUACUACCCUAGCUGUGUUGGCUUUCUAACCCGCACCACUUAUCGUGGUGGGAGACAGUGUCAGGCGGGCAGUUUGACUGGGGCGGUCGCCUCCUAAAAGGUAACGGAGGCGCUCAAAGGUUCCCUCAGAAUGGUUGGAAAUCAUUCAUAGAGUGUAAAGGCAUAAGGGAGCUUGACUGCGAGACCUACAAGUCGAGCAGGGUCGAAAGACGGACUUAGUGAUCCGGUGGUUCCGCAUGGAAGGGCCAUCGCUCAACGGAUAAAAGCUACCCCGGGGAUAACAGGCUUAUCUCCCCCAAGAGUUCACAUCGACGGGGAGGUUUGGCACCUCGAUGUCGGCUCAUCGCAUCCUGGGGCUGUAGUCGGUCCCAAGGGUUGGGCUGUUCGCCCAUUAAAGCGGUACGCGAGCUGGGUUCAGAACGUCGUGAGACAGUUCGGUCCCUAUCCGUCGUGGGCGUAGGAAAUUUGAGAGGAGCUGCCUUAGUACGAGAGGACCGGGAUGGACAUACCUCUGGUGUACCAGUUGUCGUGCCAACGGCAUAGCUGGGUAGCUAUGUGUGGACGGGAUAAGUGCUGAAAGCAUCUAAGCAUGAAGCCCCCCUCAAGAUGAGAUUUCCCAACUUCGGUUAU
rnacentral:rRNA from 1 species